GAUGAAGAACGUAGCGAAAUGCGAUAAGUAAUGUGAAUUGCAGAAUUCAGUGAAUCAUCGAAUCUUUGAACGCACAUUGCGCCCGCUAGUAUUCUGGCGGGCAUGCCUGUCCGAGCGUCAUUUCAAACCUCAAGCCCCCGGGCUUGGUGUUGGGGAUCGGCGAGCCUCCGCGCCCGCCGUCCCCUAAAUCUAGUGGCGGUCUCGCUGUAGCUUCCUCUGCGUAGUAGCACACCUCGCACUGGGAAACAGCGCGGCCACGCCGUUAAACCCCCAACUUCUGAACGUUUGACCUCGGAUCAGGUAGGAAUACCCGCUGAACUUAAGCAUAUCAAUAAGCGGAGGA
rnacentral:misc_RNA from 1 species